ACUUUGUCCUAUAGGGUCGCUAUGAGUUGGAAUUGACUCCAUGGCAACAGGUAAAUACAGGAUGCUCUUCAUUCAGGAGAUAAGAGAAGCAGUAGAAGAAAAACUCAGUUUAGGAAAACUAGAAUCACCACCCACAAUUAAACACUAACAGAAAGGGCUGACUCACCAGUGUCCUAGAGCUGGGUUGUACAGGCUCUCAAGAGUUGGCUGUUAAAUGUUCAGAAAUUCUGAAAGCCCAAAUCAGCCAUGGUGGGAGUAUUUAUACCACAGAAAUCAGCAAACGCUUUUCACUUAGAGAGCCAGUUUACCAACACACCACUGUUUGUAAUCAAGAGUCUAAGAAAUCAUUCAGAAUGAAGCAACCUGGUAAAUACUAAUAAUGAGGAGAUGAAACCAGAGAUGGAGAAUAUAUUUACAUAAAACAAUGAAAAAGCAUUUCUGGAAAUAAGGUUGUUCAAAAUGAAGAAAGAACGAAGAAGAGAGGCACAAUGUUUACAGUGUGGAGACUACACUAAAGAAUAAAAAAAGAAUUAAUGGUAAAUGGAGUAAGAGGUAUUAGGAAUGAUCAUGAUCUACGUAUGUUCUGAUUCCAUCUAUCUCUGUAAAUUCUCAGAAUAACUAGUUGGGAGGAGUAUAAAUAUCUGCAGAGCAAUGGGUUGGAAAGGAUCUCAAAAAGUCAUCAAAGCAAACUUCCAAGCACUGAACUGAAUCCCAUCUGCAGAACCACCACAAGACCAUGAGCGUCUGAAGAACAGAGAAUAUGUCCUUUAUGUUUGUAUGCCCAGAGUGCAGUACUAUGCUGUAGAUGCUGUGGAAUGAAUGAAGAAAGGAAUGAUCAUUACCAGGAGGCCAUUCAACUUAUGGCUGAACAUCUUUAAUGGCUGGGAUCUCUUGACCUAUCAAAGCAAAAACUACAUAAAGCAAUCUUUAAUCAUAUGCUAUGUGCAAUUGCAAAAUCAUACCCUAGACCAUCACUGUCCAAUGGGAAUAUAAUGUCAGCCACAAAUCAGAGCCAUAUAUGUAAUUUAAAAUUUUCUCAUAACCAUAUUAAAAAAUAAGCAAGUGAAAUUAAUUUUAAUAGUUUGUUUAAUCCAAUAUAUGCAAAAUACGGUCCUUUCAACAUGUAAGCAACAUAAAUAAUUAUAAAUAAGAUAUUUUACAUUCUUUUUUCAUACUAAAUCUUUGAAAUCCAAUUUGUAUUUUAAACUUACAGUCUAUCUCAAUUCGGACAAGCCAAAUUUCAAAUGCUCAAAAGCAUAUUUAGCUAGUAACUACCAUACUACACAGCUCAGCCCUAGACUAUGUUGUAUAUAUAUAUACUUGGGAACUAGAUAAAAUAUUUGACACAAUUGUCCAACAUAUACUCUGGCUUCCAGUCUCUGAACAAAUCCAUGACAUAUAGUUACCAGAUAUAGGGAAAAGAAAGAGUUGAUUGCUUAUAUCAUUUAAGCCUAAAAGAUGAAAAUGCAUUUGAUGAGAAUUAGUGGGGAGAAGAAAGUUGUAGUCAAUUCUUUAAAAGCAAAACCAAAGGGCAUUAUGGGGCAGGGCUAAAAGCUGAACAGGACCAGUACUUAACAAAAAACAGAUCACAGGAUCUCUUCCUCUUCAGAUUUAACAUAUAGCUACACACUAAUGGCUUUGCUCAUCUAAAGAAACAGAGAUGUGUAAAAAAUGAAUUCUUUACAACCAUUAAAAAAAUGCAAAAACACAGAAACCUGUAAAAACGGCAUAGGGGUGGUGUCUGACCUCCUCUAACUUUACAAGGGGAAAGAAGAACCAAGAUCAACAGCUCAAGGCUGAUUCCCAUGAGAUGGAUGUCAGACACACAUCCUCUCUCCACCAUUCCUACCAAUUCUGACACCAACUGUCCCUUCCACAGCACUCUACUGGG